ACGACCGCGCGCAAUGACCGCGCCGGUCUUCGGAACCAGGGGUUGCAGGUUCGAGUCCUGCCGGGCGUG
rnacentral:tRNA from 1 species